rnacentral:rRNA from 1 species
GACGAACGCUGGCGGCGUGCUUAACACAUGCAAGUCGAGCGGUAAGGCCCUUUCGGGGGUACACGAGCGGCGAACGGGUGAGUAACACGUGGGUGACCUGCCCUCAGCUCUGGGAUAAGCCCGGGAAACUGGGUCUAAUACCGGAUAUGACUUCAUGACGCAUGUUGUGGAGUGGAAAGCCUUGUGCGGCUGAGGAUGGGCCCGCGGCCUAUCAGCUUGUUGGUGGGGUGANGGCCUACCAAGGCGACGACGGGUAGCCGGCCUGAGAGGGCGACCGGCCACACUGGGACUGAGAUACGGCCCAGACUCCUACGGGAGGCAGCAGUGGGGAAUAUUGGACAA